UAUUUUUGAAAACAUUUCUAGCAGUAUAUAUCCCCUUUAUUUUCGUAAUAUUGCAGACAUGAAGUUGUUUGUUUGUUACGUUCAACUUUUCCUCAAAGGAUCUGAAAGCGUCUGAUCUUUUCCAUUCAUAUAUGCGGGCUGACGUUGGUCACGUGACGUGCCUUUCUCUUUUUUUCCUGUGGAAAAUCUCGUAAAAAGGUACGUUGCGAUUUACUAAUUUGUUUUAUUUACAUUUCUAGGGACCCGUGUAUAGGUUUUCUCGUUCCGUGUUGCUGUUGCGGCGAUCAGGCUUUGAUUGACAUGUGACAACAAACCGGAAAAAUGUUGAGUUCAGGGACGGACCAAAGAGUUCUUUAAAUUGAUUUUUCUGCAUUUUAAUUUAUUUACACUACGAGUCUAAUGGUGUGUGAUAAAAAAAACUAUAAAUAUUAUGAUAAAUGAGAUGAAACAAUUAUUUUGAUGGAGUUUAUAAAAUAUUAGGAUCUAUUAUAUUCUUUUUUCUUUAACUGUCAAUUUUUUGACGUAUCUCAUAUAUUAUAGUAUUACAAUGAAGUGCUCUAAUUUAUCUGUUAAAAAAGGUUUCAUCACUGUUUCCUGUAGUAAUUCUCAAUAAUGUUUUAAAUAGGAUAUAUUAAAUAGGAUAUAUUAUCUAAAGUAAACAGGCUUUUAAGCCUUCAAUUUGCCCCAAUUGACAUGAAGUGCGCAUUUCGAAAAGCCAGUGAACGCAGCGUCAUACGGGCACCCCCACCCCACUCCCCCGGAAACCCCCGGGAUGAACCCGCAGGAAGGCGCGCGGCUGAAGAACUCUUGGACAGCUGGAAGGAUAAACGUCCAUCUUAAAUUGAAAAGGCCGCAGGAUCACGGUGAAGGCCUCUUCUGUAUAAAGGACGGGGGCGGAAACGUCACGUGGUCUCCGCAGAGGUUAUGGUGCCAUGGUAAAGAACUAAAGGCUCUAUGAUGUCAUGCUGCUGACCAAACUGUGGUUGGUGAAGUCCAGCAGCACUGCAGGUCCUUGAAGUGUGGUUGAAGAGCUCUCCUCCCAGCUUUUGGAAGGUUCUGCCCCACAAAGCCAGGAGGUUUCUCUUUGUGAUCUGCAUGGAUGUCCAGGGCUUGUGGCAUUUAUGUGUUUUCUUCUUCAUUUCAUUUUUAGGCAGCACAGAGUCAUUGAUGGAGAGAGAACAUGAGGGACUAAUUGUCUGCUGAUGAGGAGACUUUCUGCAGUUCAAGCCCCAGCUCCACCCCUAAAAAAAGGCUUAUAUAAAGGAAAACCUCAUUUCAACUUUGUACCAAUAAAUGACUUUUAAUUGAAA